AUGCUUGGUCUCACUCCGCCUCCUCCCCGACACCCACAGCCACACCACCCGUUUCACCUAAUAUGGAGAAUCCGAUUCGUUUCCAUGUUUCCAGCCCUAAUCCUCCAAUCUAUCUCGCCCUUCCUACCAUCCUCCGCCCCGCGGCCGCACGGCCGACUGCUGCAUACCUCCGUGAUUCCAACGGCGUCCAUUACCUCUGCUUGCAGGCUGAGACAGGCAAUUGACACAGCGCAAAGUCGUUAACAUCCAUCGACUUAUCAUGCAUGCUGCUCUGGAAGAGGAAGUUAUGAACCUGCAGAAGUCCAAAGUAACAUUUGCUGAUGAUGUUAUCAAUGCAGAGAAUGCAGUCCUGAAAACCAUGAACACAGACCAAUUGCUCAAUCUUUUUUGCUUCUUCACCAACCGUUCGAAUGGUAAGUUACAUUGCUUGUUGUGCAUGUUCAAUUUCUUUCUAGAAUUGCUUUUUUAUGUAGCCAAAUCACAGUUCAUCCGAUAUAAUUAAUUUCCUUGGUCUUGGUAUUUUGACAUGAAAACAAUUGUGUAAUGAUAUGUCUGAAAGAACAUGGAGAAGGGAACUCCAGCUUCAAGCAGCUCCAGUAAUGACGUGAACAAAACUUAAGCCAGCCCUCGGAAAAGCUUAAUGGCUGAGUCUUGAAGGAUAUUGCAGUUUAAUGUCGAUUCCAUUUUUCGAGAAUUUGCCUAUGUUACUACUUGGAGUUGUCAACAAGGAGAUACGCUCUAUUCAAGUUUAGCAAACUCAACCCGAGGAGGUCUAAACCAAGCUCAUUUCUGAUGGAGCAUUUGACGCAACAUCGAACCUAGCGGAGACGAAUGCUGAUGCAAGGACUGCUGGAUGUUUGUUUGUCGAAUGCAAGUUCAUACAAGAUGGUAGCUGUUGGACCGACGAACAUCUGGCCGUCUAGGAAGGAAUCUCCGCUGCAAUCCAACUAGGUGUACCUAAGCUUAUUAUUGAGACGAUGAUGAGUGGAUUGUAAUGCUUGUUUAAGGAGGAACCUCCUCUUGGUUCCUCCUAAACUGUGUUCGGAAAAUUUUUGCAUCCCUUCUUAUUUUUGUUAAUCAAAAGAUGGUUUAUAUUUCUAAAGAGUGCAAUCAAUGUGUCCUGAACUCAGAAGUUUUGUCUUCCCUUUGGAUCUGUCGUGUAUUAUCUAUCAUCUUUGAUGCUAAUGGGAAACUUUGUACUCGUUUUGUUGAGGUUUAA